UCUCUUCCCAGUGAUGGCCGACUAGGCCAUCUUCUGCUACAUAUGCAGCUAGAGAUACGAGCUCUGGAGGUACUGGUUAGUUCAUAUUGUUGUUCCACCUAUAGGGUUUCAGACCCCUUCAGUGCCUUGGGUGCUUUCUCUAGCUUCUCCAUUGGGGGCCCUAUGUUCCAUCUUACAGAUGACUGUGAGCAUCCACUUUUAUUUGCCAGGCACUGGCAUAGCCUCAUACAAGACAGCUAUAGCAGGGUUCCUUCAGCAAAAUCUUUCUGGCAUAUGCAAGUGUCUGGGUUUGGUGGCUGAUUAUGGGAUGGAUCCCCGGGCUGGGUAGUCUCUGGAUAGCGCAUCCUUUCAUCUUAAAACACCCAAGAUACAAUUUGCAAAACACAAGAAAAUCAAAAAGAAGGAAGACCAAUGUGUGGAUACUUCAUUCCUCCUUAGAAAAGGGAACAAAAUACCAAUGAAAGGAGUUACAGAGACAAAGUUUGGAGCCUUUGAGGUUUCAAGAGGACUCCUGCCAUUUAGCAUUUGUGGCUUAGACUUCCUGUUUGUUGUUGGAGAUGCAAACUCUGACCUGCUUGUCUGGCUUGCUAACUUGCUGUUUGGCGAUCAUGAAUUAUUAAAUCAUUGGAAAAAUAAAUCAAAUAAACUCUUGUUCCUUUCAUAAAUUUCCUUGGUCAUGAUGUUUCAUCACUGCAAUAGAAAAGUAACUAAGAUGCUUGCCGCAGACCCUCUGGUUACCUUUGUCACUUUGUCUCCAAUCCCUGUGGCUCCCACUCUGCCUCCCAUGGGUUUACAGCUGAACCGCUAUAGCAGCUUAUAUUGACUAAAUGUUCUCAUUUCUAUAACUGACCUUUAGUUAGCUAGCAAGCAUUACAUUUAUACAUACUUGCCAUAGUUAAAAUGUUAUUAAAAUUCCAUUGACUGAAACAUUAAGUACAAAAUAUAUAAAAUUGUCUAUUUCAGUUUAAGGAGCUAUAGUAAUGUGUUACUACAUAGCUGUUAAGAAAAAUAAAAAGAAAGGUCUUUUAGAUUACACAAAUUACUGAAAAGUACAGCUUUAAAUAAUUUCAAAUGUAAUGUUAUUUUAUGCAUGAUAAAUUCCCCACCUCACAAUUAUAUUUAGAAUCUUUGAUGCUGGGAAACAUUUCUUAAGAAUGUACUAUGGCAUUUAACAGAGAUGCACAUAGCACAGCAACAGACAAUUCGUUUAACACUGUUAGUGGUUCUACUAGUGAAAAUUGUAACCAUAUGGGCGGCUUUAAGUAAAAUACAGUCAUAGAGCUCUGUUUUGAAGAGACUAUGAUUUAUGGAUUAUGCAAAUCUAUUUGAUGAGAAUAUCAUGAGAUAAGGUCCAGGAGUGUACUUUUGUAAGAAUGCAGGACAUUCCAGAGCUUGGCCAAUUUAGAUACCCAUUAUUCUAUAUGUUUUUCUUCCUUAUAAGUCCAUUAAUUACUGCCACUAAUGAAGGUCUCCCAAGCUAAAGAAAAUGCUUUUCAUAUUUAUGGAUGAAUAAGACUGAAAAGAUUGCAAAACAAAUUUCUUACAGAAAUAGUAGAUAUAUAUCCUGAAGAAUUGUUAGAAACAUCUAAAUAUUUAGAACUGUCUUAAAAAUAUUAUCUUGUUUCACUUUAGGUGACUUCAGUAAUGAACAAAAUCAGAUUAAUCAUAAUUGCUUAGAUUAAAUGUAAUAACCAUGGUGAGACUCUUUGCUCAACAUAGAAUAUAUGU
rnacentral:lncRNA from 1 species